rnacentral:rRNA from 1 species
AUUGAACGCUGGCGGCAGGCCUAACACAUGCAAGUCGAACGAGUGGCGGACGGGUGAGUAAUGUCUGGGAAACUGCCUGCUGGAGGGGGAUAACUACGGGAAACGGUAGCUAAUACCGCAUACCAUCGGAUGUGCCCAGAUGGGAUUAGCUAGUAGGUUGGGUAACGGGUCACCUAGGCGACGAUCCCUAGCUGGUCUGAGAGGAUGACCAGCCACACGGGAACUGAGACCCGGUCCAUACGCCUACGGGAGGCAGCAGUGGGGAAUAUUGCACAAGGGGCGCAGGCCUGAUGCAGCCAUGCGGCGUGCAUGAAGAAGGCCUUCGGGUUGUAAAGUACUUUCAGCGAGGAGGCGUUACUCGCAGAAGAAGCACCGGCUCACUCCGUGCCAGCAGCCGCGGUAAUAC